CGAACUGCGAUAAGUAAUGUGAAUUGCAGAAUUCAGUGAAUCAUCGAAUCUUCGAACGCACCUUGCGCUCCUUGGUAUUCCUUGGAGCAUGCCUGUUUGAGUAUCAUGAAAUCUUCAAAGUAAAUCUUUUGUUAACUCAAUUGGUUUCUACUUUGGUAUUGGAGGUCUUUGCAGCUUCACACCUGCUCCUCUUUGUUCAUUAGCUGGAUCUCAGUGUUAUGCUUGGUUCCACUCGGCGUGAUAAGUUAUCUAUCGCUGAGGACACUGUAAAAGGUGGCCAAGGUAAAUGCAGAUGAACCGCUUCUAAUAGUCCAUUGACUUGGACAAUACUUUUAUGAUCUGAUCUCAAAUCAGGUAGGACUACCCGCUGAACUUAAGC
rnacentral:misc_RNA from 1 species